rnacentral:rRNA from 1 species
UGGGGAAUUUUGGACAAUGGGCGAAAGCCUGAUCCAGCAAUGCCGCGUGUGUGAAGAAGGCCUUCGGGUUGUAAAGCACUUUUGUCCGGAAAGAAAUCCUUGGCUCUAAUACAGUCGGGGGAUGACGGUACCGGAAGAAUAAGCACCGGCUAACUACGUGCCAGCAGCCGCGGUAAUACGUAGGGUGCAAGCGUUAAUCGGAAUUACUGGGCGUAAAGCGUGCGCAGGCGGUUUGCUAAGACCGAUGUGAAAUCCCCGGGCUCAACCUGGGAACUGCAUUGGUGACUGGCAGGCUAGAGUAUGACAGAGGGGGGUAGAAUUCCACGUGUAGCAGUGAAAUGCGUAGAGAUGUGGAGGAAUACCGAUGGCGAAGGCAGCCCCCUGGGCCAAAUACUGACGCUCAUGCACGAAAAGCGUGGGGGAGCAAAACAGGAUUAGAUACCCUGGUAGUCCACGCCCUAAAACGAUGUCAACUAGUUGUUGGGGAUUCAUUUCCUUAGUAACGUAGCUAACGCGUGAAGUUGACCGCCUGGGGGAGUACGGUCGCAAAGAUUAAAAACUCAAAGGAAUUGACGGGGUCAUAGCUGUUUCCU